rnacentral:lncRNA from 1 species
GCGGGUUAUCUGAAGAUCUGUAGUAAGAAUGACACAUCUUUUUUAUUUAAAUAUUAUUGCUUUUUAGGCACUGAAUUUUGGAGAUAUGCUGAAGUACUUGUGGGAGAUUUGGGUGCCUGAAAAACCAUGGGUGCCGCAGGACGAAUUCUACGACCAGGCUUCACCAGACAAGAGGACUGAAGCUGAUGGCAACUCAGACCCCAACUCGGGCCUAAGAGUGAUCAACUGGUUGCACAAGAACUCACAUGAAUAAAUAGAUACAUAAAAAUCUUUAUAAAAGCUAAAGAAACAUUGAAGAAAUAACAGUUUGAUCCUUCGGGUGAUACCAUAGUACAAAAGAAACUCAUGGGCCACAUCUUUCAUUUUUGAGGAACAUUUUCUGUGACCUUUUAUAAGUCUGUCUCUCUCUUGCUUGCUUGUUUGACUAAAAUAUAUUCCACUCAUCUGUCUAAUUUAGUUCAGCUGCAACUGCUUGGAUCUUCACACACUAAGAGAAUAAAUCCUAGCACCAUAUGCUAAUGUAUGUCUAUAUCUCAUGUCUUUUGUUUAGAAAUCAUUAUGUUUGAGUUGGUGAUGAGAUA